AGAGUUUGAUCCUGGCUCAGAGCGAACGCUGGCGGCAGGCCUAAUACAUGCAAGUCGAGCGCACCUUCGGGUGAGCGGCGGACGGGUGAGUAACGCGUGGGAAUGUGCCCUUUGGUACGGAACAACUGAGGGAAACUUCAGCUAAUACCGUAUGUGCCCUUCGGGGGAAAGAUUUAUCGCCAUUGGAGCAGCCCGCGUUGGAUUAGGUAGUUGGUAGGGUAAAGGCCUACCAAGCCUACGAUCCAUAGCUGGUCUGAGAGGAUGAUCAGCCACACUGGGACUGAGACACGGCCCAGACUCCUACGGGAGGCAGCAGUAGGGAAUCUUGCGCAAUGGGCGAAAGCCUGACGCAGCCAUGCCGCGUGAAUGAUGAAGGUCUUAGGAUUGUAAAAUUCUUUCACCGGGGAAGAUAAUGACGGUACCCGGAGAAGAAGCCCCGGCUAACUUCGUGCCAGCAGCCGCGGUAAUACGAAGGGGGCUAGCGUUGCUCGGAAUUACUGGGCGUAAAGGGCGCGUAGGCGGAUAUUUAAGUCGGGGGUGAAAGCCCAGGGCUCAACCCUGGAAUAGCCUUCGAUACUGGAUAUCUUGAGUUCGGGAGAGGUGAGUGGAACUCCGAGUGUAGAGGUGAAAUUCGUAGAUAUUCGGAAGAACACCAGUGGCGAAGGCGACUCACUGGCCCGAUACUGACGCUGAGGCGCGAAAGCGUGGGGAGCAAACAGGAUUAGAUACCCUAGUAGUCC
rnacentral:rRNA from 1 species